rnacentral:rRNA from 1 species
ACUCCUGCGGGAGGCAGCAGUGGGGAAUUUUGGACAAUGGGCGAAAGCCUGAUCCAGCCAUGCCGCGUGCAGGAUGAAGGCCUUCGGGUUGUAAACUGCUUUUGUACGGAACGAAACGGCCUUUUCUAAUAAAGAGGGCUAAUGACGGUACCGUAAGAAUAAGCAUCGGCUAACUACGUGCCAGCAGCCGCGGUAAUACGUAGGGUGCAAGCGUUAAUCGGAAUUACUGGGCGUAAAGCGUGCGCAGGCGGUUAUGUAAGACAGUUGUGAAAUCCCCGGGCUCAACCUGGGAACUGCAUCUGUGACUGCAUAGCUAGAGUACGGUAGAGGGGGAUGGAAUUCCGCGUGUAGCAGUGAAAUGCGUAGAUAUGCGGAGGAACACCGAUGGCGAAGGCAAUCCCCUGGACCUGUACUGACGCUCAUGCACGAAAGCGUGGGGAGCAAACAGGAUUAGAAACCCUAGUAGUCCCAUG